rnacentral:rRNA from 1 species
CCUACGUGAUGCAGCAGUAGGGAAUCUUCCACAAUGGACGAAAGUCUGAUGGAGCAACGCCGCGUUAGUGAAGAAGGGUUUCGGCUCGUAAAGCUCUGUUGGUAUUGAAGAAAGAUAGAGGUAGUAACUGGCCUUUAUUUGCCGUUAAUUACUUCGAACGUCACGGCUAACUACGUGCCAGCAGCCGCGGUACUACGUAGGUGGCAAUCGUUGUACGGAUUUAUUUGGCGUAAAGCGAGUGCAGGCGGUUCAAUAAGUCUGAUGUGAAAGCCUUAGGCUCAACCGGAGAAUUGCAUCAGAAACUGUUGAACUUGAGUGCAGAAGAGGAGAGCGGAACUCCAUGUGUAGCGGUGGAAUGCGUAGAUAUAUGGAAGAACACCAGGGGCGAAGGCGGCUCUCUGGUCUGCAACUGACGCUGAGGCUCGAAAGCAUGGGUAGCGAACAGGAUUAGAUACCCGUGUAGUC